rnacentral:lncRNA from 1 species
ACCACACUUCUGAUAUCUUUUCACCAAAUGAAGUUGGGGUGUUGGGUUGGAAAGUGGGUAACCAAUUCCCAGAACCCUUCCCACCCAAAUAUGGCAUGGUAAUAGAUGGCCCGGUGCAACAUAAUAGCACUUGAGUUCAACAUGACUUUCCAGCCUAGGGCUAUUCUAAGUGAGCCCUCUUGGGUUCGUUCGUGCGUGAGGGAGGGGACAGGAAGACAAUUGAGAGACUGAUUUAUAGCCAUAAACACUUUUGAAGUACUCUUAGAGAAUUCUACAUAAAAACUAAAACUCUCAAGCACCAAAAAGAAUCAUAGGGUGCCACACCAUGCUGCCCAUGAGAUAUCGGAAUGGCCAUGUAUGCAUGAUAAGGGAACUCCUUAGUCCUAGGGAUACCAUCUGGCGAAGCAC